rnacentral:rRNA from 1 species
UUCUAUAAAAUUAAAAAAAUUGGCGGUAUUUUAUCAUUUCAGAGGAACCUGUUCUAUAAUUGAUAAUCCACGAUUUAAAUAACUUAUUUUAUUAGUUUACAUAUCGUUGUAGGUUAAAUAUUUUUAAAGAAUUAAUAUUUAAUAUUUUUUAUAAAAAAAUAAAUCAGAUCAAGGUGUAGUUUAUAGGUAAGAAGAAAUGGGUUACAAUAAAUUGAUUUAUAUAGUUUGUUAGUUUAAAACUAACAUUAAAGUGGAUUUGGAUGUAAUUUUAAUUAAAUUAUUAAAAUGAUAAUUGUAAUAAAAUAUGUACAUAUUGCCCGUCACUUUCACUUUAAAGUGGAAUAAGUCGUAACAUAGUAGGUGUACUGGAAAGUGUACCUGGAACGACAAAUUAGAGCUUAAAAAAGUAUUUUAGUUACAUUAAAAAGUUAAUUGUUUAAUUCAAUUUAAUUUGAAUAAAUAAUAUUAUUUAAAUUAUUAGUAUUUAGUAAUUUAUUAAAAAUAUUUUUUAUUUUAUUAUUUAUUUAGAAAAAAUUAUAAUUUUAUAGUUUAUUAGUAUUGUAAAAGAAUUAUUUAUAAAUUUUAAUAAGAAUAAUUAAUUUUUAGUACCUUGUGUAUCAGGGUUUAUUAAAUAAAAAUUAAUGAUUUUAAUUUUCUCGAAUUUAAAAGAGCUAUAAAAAUAUAAUUUUUACUGUUACAAAAGUAUUGAAAAUAUUUUUAUAGAAAUGAAAUGUUAUACGUUUUUAAAUAUAUCUAGUUUUUUAAGAAAAAAAUUUAAUUUUUUUAAUAUGUAUUAAUUUACUAAAUUUUUAGUAAGUUAUUAAUAUUACAAAAUAAUUUAAGGGAUGAGCUUUAAUUUAUAUUAUUAAAAAUACUAAUAAAUAAUUAAAAAAAUAGGAUUAAAAAUUUUCAUUUUUAAAAUUUUGUUAUAAUUAUUUUAAUUUAUUUAUAAUUUAUAUAAGUAUUUUAAUUUUUUUAUUGAAAUAUUAAUUUUAAUUUAUAAUUCUAAGAAAUAAUGAUAAAAUUAGUAUAGUUUAGUGUUUAUUUAUUUAUAAUUUAGAUAUAAUAAAGGAAUUCGGCAAAAAUUUUUUUACCUGUUUAAUAAAAACAUGGCCUUUUGAGUUAAUUUAAGGUCUAACCUGCCCAAUGAGUAUUAAAUGGCCGCAGUAUUUUGACUGUGCAAAGGUAGCAUAAUAAUUUGUUUUUUAAUUGAAAGCUUGAAUGAAGGGUUGGAUAAGAAAAAAACUGUCUCUGUUAUAUAUAUAUAUAAUUUUAUUUUUAAGUUAAAAAGCUUAAAUUUUUUUAAAAGACGAGAAGACCCUAUAGAAUUUUAUAUUUUGCUUUUUUAAAAGAUUUAGUAAUUAA